rnacentral:rRNA from 1 species
CACGUAGGGCGCGAGCGUUGUCCGGAAUUAUUGGGCGUAAAGAGCUCGUAGGCGGUCUGUCGCGUCUGCUGUGAAAACUCAGGGCUUAACCCUGAGCUUGCAGUGGGUACGGGCAGACUAGAGUGCGGUAGGGGAGACUGGAAUUCCUGGUGUAGCGGUGAAAUGCGCAGAUAUCAGGAGGAACACCGGUGGCGAAGGCGGGUCUCUGGGCCGUAACUGACGCUGAGGAGCGAAAGCAUGGGGGGCGAACAGG